rnacentral:sRNA from 1 species
GCAGCGCAGCAGCAGCAGCAGCAGCAACAGCAGCAACAGCAGCAGAUGAAGAUGCACUGCAGAUGUCCACAGCCCUGGCGCGGACCUCGGUAGAUGCCGCUGCUGUUGCUGCUGCAGCUGCUGCUGCAGCUGCUGCUGCAGCUGCUGCUGCAGCUGCUGCUGCAGCUGCUGCUGCAGCUGCUGCUGCAGCUGCUGCUGCAGUUGCUGCUGCUGUUGCUGCUGCUGUUGCUGCAGUUUCUGCUGUUGCUGCUGGCAGCACUG